rnacentral:rRNA from 1 species
GAUGAACGCUAGCGGGAGGCCUAACGCAUGCAAGCCGAGCGGUAUUUCUUCUUCGGGAGAGAGAGAGCGGCGUACGGGUGCGGAACACGUGUGCAACCUGCCUUUAUCUGGAGGAUAGCCUUUCGAAAGGAAGAUUAAUACUCCAUAAUAUAUUAAUUGGCAUCAAUUGAUAUUGAAAACUCCGGUGGAUAGAGAUGGGCACGCGCAGGAUUAGCUAGUUGGUGAGGUAACGGCUCACCAAGGCAAUGAUCUUUAGGGGGCCUGAGAGGGUGAUCCCCCACACUGGUACGGAGACACGGACCAGACUCCUACGUGAGGCAGCAGUGAGGAAUAUUGGUCAAUGGGUGCAAGCCUGAACCAGCCAUCCCGCGUGAAGGAUUAAGGUCCUAUGGAUUGUAAACUUCCUUUGUAUAGGGAUAAACCUACCCUCGUGAGGGUAGCUGAAGGUACUAUACGAAUAAGCACCGGCUAACUCCGUGCCAGCCGCCGCCGUAAAAC